rnacentral:lncRNA from 1 species
GGGGGUCAAGAGCAUGAGAUCAGGGCUGUACCAAAGUCAGGGCACCGAGGAAGUGGUGUAUCAGCCAGAGGGCUCACAGUUCCUUUCAGCCUGCCGAAUCCCGGCCUUCUAAGCCCAAUAUCCAAUACCUUCAAAUAUCCUGUCUUACAGUAUAGGGCUAAAGCAAAUGCAGGUAAAAGGAAUGUGGUGAGAUGAGAGAGCGAAGAAGGAAACCAGACAAAUAUGCUUUGUGUUGGUACAGAAUGAACAGAUGUGUGGGACAAGGGAUGUCAAAAUGGCGGAGGUGAUCAGGAAGAGUUAGUAUUUUCACAGCAUUGCUGUGGACCACAUUUAGACUUUAACGUAGAGCGUGGGCUUUCCUUUCAUAGGUUUAUGUGCAUAAGGCUUCUUUAAAUAUAACUCUUUGAAUAUGUACCUUGGCCACUCAUUUAUUUUGCAUGAAAUAACAGUGCAGCCAACAUCCGAGCGUUUGCCAGGUACUGAAACUGGCAAUUGAAUCUACAUCUCACCCCC